rnacentral:ncRNA from 1 species
UCGCCAGCGGAAGGCUCUGACACGCGGUCCAUACCCGGCCGCCGGGACCGCGCCGAGCCACUGGCGAGACCGACCCGCGUGGCU